AAUCAAUCACCCUAGCUCUACUAAUCACGUUGCCACAGCAUCGUACCACACACCACUCAUCACUUCUCGAUCGAUCCACACUGAUCCAACACACAUUUCACCGGCGGACAGUAGCUCGACUUCUCCCUGCGUACGUAUCUUCUUCUAUAUAUACCCAAGAACCCAGCCACAUCACACCACGUCGUCACACGCAAACCACACGAUCUCUUAGCUCGAGUAGCCGCCGUCGGCGUCGCACGCACGCAAGUGAACCACACAAAAUUCGGUCGCGAUCGAUCGGCAAGCUAGCUAGUAGUUAGCAGGUUGUGCCAUGGCAGCUCGGCGUAGUGGUGCGGUGGUGGCAGCGUUGAUGGUGGUGGCGGCGGCGCUGGUCGGGCUCGCUGGCGCCGACUUCGCGGCGGACAGGGCGGAGUGCGCGGACAAGCUGAUGGGGCUGGCGACGUGCCUGACGUACGUGCAGCUGGCGGCGACGGCGCGGUCGCCCACGCCGGACUGCUGCUCCGGGUUCCGGCAGGUGCUGGCCGCAAGCAAGAAGUGCCUGUGCGUGCUGGUCAAGGACCGCGACGAGCCCACCCUGGGGAUCAAGUUCAACGUCACCCGCGCCAUGAACCUCCCCUCCGCCUGCAACAUCCCCGCCACCUUCUCCGACUGCCCCAAGAUCCUCAACAUGUCGCCGGACUCCAAGGAGGCCGAGAUCUUCAAGCAGUACGGGAUCGAGCACGAGGGCAAGAACGCCACCGCCGGCGGCGCCGCCACCGGUAAAUUAUACAUGCUCCUCUGGCCACUUAACUAGCAUAUAUAUAUAUUCUCGGAUCGAUCGAGCUACAUUCUUGGUCAUCGUUUCUUCGGAUGAAAUACUAGCUAAUUCAUCAUGUUAAUUAGGGAACGCCUAAUCUUCCUCUCCCUUGUCAAAUAAAUAACCACAUCCUUCCCCCUUUGUCUUCAUCUCGCCACCGCCGUCGUCGUCAUCUACCCACGCCUCCGACGCUGGCCUAAUACUCAUCUGCCACGGCGGCACCGCCGCCACCCCUCCCCGUCCGCCGUGUCGCCUCCUUGGCCGAGCUGCCGCUUAGACCACCCUGCACGCAUACCCGAACCUGUCAGUCUCUGCCUCGCCUCCGUCAACGACACGCGCCGCCGUCUCUGACUCGGGACUGUGCUUGCUCACUAAAAUCGACUGAAGUGAACUUUUCCAGUCGCCUAAGAAAUAGCAAACGCGUGUCAAUUAUACACGCGCAUGCGUAGCAUGAGGCCGGAAGAACGUACACCACACGGCACACUCUACACACUGCACACAGCACAUGGCAUGAGCAGGAGCAGGCGAGCAGCUAGCUUCCCGCUGCUCGGUUGCACGAUUGCGACGUGAACGAGCGUGACCGCGAGCGACCACGCGACUCUGCAGUUAUGCUCGAGAAAGAUACUGGCCACAGUGCGCAUUCAUUUCUAGCCGGAGGUUAGUGGUGGCGGGAUCAGUCAAUGCCCUGCAUGGUAUGCAUGGCCCGCCUAACACCGGACGUGUCCUGACAGUCGUGUACCCUCCGGCCGGUGUUCGGUGCCUGGUCUUAACUGAACUUGGUGGGUAACCAUAACUGUACCUAAAUCUCCGUUUGAAAGAAAAAGGAAACUGUACCUAAAUCUGUGGUGCUUUUGCAGUGCUAAAACUAGUAUCCAGUUCAAAACUGCACCUAAAUCUGUGGUGCUUUUGCAUGGUUAGUUAAACAAACACUAAUGGUGUAUAUCAGUUCAGCACUGUACAAAACAAGCACUUGUGAAUAACUUAACAUUGUCGUACGCCUUGGCCGUGGCUGGUUGCAGGUACCUCCGGCGCGAAGAGCGCCGACGCGGCGGCCGGUGCAGGGAGGCACGCGGUGGUCUUCGCCGUCGUCGUCUCGGCGCUGCUCGCCUCCCUCUUUGUUCUCGCGUGAUGAUAGGCUGCAGUGGCAGCAGGGAGGGAGAUCAGAAGUCGGGACACCCGGCGGUGUCCGUAUGAUUGGGCUGGACUGGGCUGUGCAAUUUUCAGCCUGGGCCUUAAGUUUGGUCAAGCAGAGGGCCCAUUGAUUGCUGUGUAGUGAGCGAGUGAGUGAGUGAAUUCUAAGAGAAGGAAAAGUGUACUGUAGUGAGUGAGUUGCUUGCCUCUCCGGUUCCUGUUUAGUCCCUUUCUUGUUCUCUUUUAUUUUUCCGAAUAGUGAGUUGACCGUCGGAUCAGUUGAUGUUGGAAGCUUACAAUUGUCCUACCGAAAUUUCUCUUCCUUUUCCUUCCAUUUUCUGGAGCAAGAGUGUGUGUAAUUAAUAUGGGUACUUCAUAUAUUUUUAAAUGACAUGUGUAUUUUACAGUGAUGUGCUGUUACAUGC
rnacentral:rRNA from 1 species